UACGUAGGAUGCAAGCGUUGUCCGGAAUCAUUGGGCGUAAAGCGUGCGCAGGCGGUUCGUUGUGUCGGUGGUGAAAGCCCCGGGCUUAACCUGGGAAUGGCCAUGGAAACUGGCGAACUGGAGUGUGGCAGAGGGGGGUGGAAUUCCGCGUGUAGCAGUGAAAUGCGUAGAGAUGCGGAGGAACACCGAUGGCGAAGGCAGCCCCCUGGGCUAGCACUGACGCUCAGGCACGAAAGCGUGGGGAGCAAACAGG
rnacentral:rRNA from 1 species